AGCGAACGCUGGCGGCAGGCUUAACACAUGCAAGUCGAGCGGGCAUCCUUGUGGUGUCUGCGGCAGACGGGUGCGUAACGCGUGGGAACGUGCCCUUCGGUUCGAAAUAACUCAGGGAAACUUGAGCUAAUACCGGAUACGCCCUUUUGGGGCAAGGUUUACUGCCGAAGGAUCAGCCCGCGUCUGAUUAGAUAGUUGGUGAGGUUAUGGCUCACCAAGGCGACGAUCAGUAGCUGGUCUGCGAGGCUAGUCCGCCACACUGGGACUGAGACACGGCCCAGAAUACUACGGGAGGCAGCAGUGGGGAAUAUUGGAAAAUGGGGGCAACCCUGAUCCAGCCAUGCCGCGUGAGUGAUGACGGCCUUAGAGUUGUAAAGCUCUUUUCUCCGGGACGAUAAUGACGGUACCGGAGGAAUAAGCCCCGGCUAACUUCGUG
rnacentral:rRNA from 1 species